rnacentral:rRNA from 1 species
AUACGUAGGUGACAAGCGUUAUCCGGAUUUACUGGGCGUAAAGAGUGCGUAGGUGGUUACCUAAGCGCAGGGUUUAAGGCUACGGCUUAACUGUAGUUCGCCCUGCGAACUGGGCAACUUGAGUGCAGGAGAGGAAAGCGGAAUUCCUAGUGUAGCGGUGAAAUGCUUAGAUAUUAGGAGGAACACCAGUGGCGAAGGCGGCUUUCGGGACGGAAACUGACACGGAGGCACGAAAGCGUGGGGAGCAAACAGGAUUAGAUACCCUGGUAGUCCACGCCGUAAACGAUGAGCACUAGGUGUCGGGGGGAUCACCCUCGGUGCCGGAGUUAACGCAUUAAGUGCUCCGCCUGGGGAGUACGCACGCAAGUGUAAAACUCAAAUGAAUUGGCGGGG